rnacentral:rRNA from 1 species
GCGUGAUAAUUCGCCCUUUAAUUGUGGGCUAGAAUGAAUGGACAAACGAAAGAUCAGCUGUCUCUAAAUUAUAUAUAAAAAUUGACCUACAGGUGAAGAGACCUGUAUCUAAAUAAAGGACAAGAAGACCCCGUAGAGCUCCGCCUUUAAUUGAAUAAUAAUAAUAAUUACUAAAUAAUUAAUUAACUCUUCAAUUUAGGCUUGGCUGGGGCGGCCAAGGAGAAAAUCUAUCCUCCAUUUUCAUCUUUUUAGCUUUUUAAGGUUAUUUUACCGCAACCUAAAUUGACCCUUUUCAGAUUAUAAAAACAAGCUACCUCGGGGAUAACAGAUUAAUCCUUCUAGAGAGCUCACAUUGACAGAAGGGAUUGACACCUCGAUGUUGGCUUAGGAUAUCCUAUAAACAGCAGCAAUUUAUAAGGGUAGGUUUGUUCAACCUUUAAAAUCCU